GGUCAUAUCACGAUCACCGAAGUUAAGCAACGUUCGGCAUUGUCAGUACUCAGAUGGAUGACCGCUGGGGAAUACCAGGUGCUGUAA